rnacentral:rRNA from 1 species
GGUAUAUGCUUGUCUCAAAGACUAAGCCAUGCAAGUCUAAGUAUAAGUUAUAUGAACGACGAAACUGCGAAUGGCUCGGUAAAACAGCAAUAAUUUCUUCGAGGAUAUACUACUCGGAUAACCGUAGUAAUUCUAGAGCUAAUACGUGCCAUCAGUCGGGAUUCGUUCCGACGUGCCGUUUAGAUAACAACACCAACAUAUGGUGAUUCAUAAUCGUCUUUCUGACCCUUUAUUGAGCACCUCGUUCAAAUUUCUGACCUAUCAACUUUCGAUGAUAAGGUAGUGUCUUAUCAUGGUUUCAACGGGUAACGGACCGUGGGUGCGGGACUCCGGAGAGGGAGCCUGAGAAACGGCUACCACAUCCAAGGAAGGCAGCAGGCGCGCAACUUACCCAAUCCAGACUCUGGGAGGUAGUGACAAGAAAUAUCAGUAGGGGAUCCUAUGGGUCUUCUAACCGGAAUGAGAACAAGCUAAACAGCUUAUCGAGAAUCCAGCAGAGGGCAAGUCUGGUGCCAGCAGCCGCGGUAAUUCCAGCUCUGUAAGCGUAUACCAAAGUUGUUGCAGUUAAAACGCUCGUAGUCGGACUUUGGCGGUUUCGGGAGUGCGCCGCGUCGUGCGGACGCUUCGCAGGAACUGCUUUUGUGGGUUUCGCGUCAGAUGAGGGCUGUUAAUUCGGUAACGUCUGUACGCAACCACUGUUUACUGUGAGAAAAUCAGAGUGCUCAAAGCAGGCAUUUGCCGUGAAUGUAUUAGCAUGGAAUAAUAGAAUAGGACUUAGUCUUAUUUUUGUUGGUUUGUAGGACUGGAGUAAUGAUUAA